GCUGGGUGUGGUGUUGCGCACCUGCAAUCCCAGUGACUCAGGAAGCUGAGGCAGGAGGAUAGCAAGUUAGAGGUCUCAGAAACAGUGAGACCCUCAGUAACUUAGUGAGACCCUUUCUCAA
rnacentral:sRNA from 1 species